CCCAGAGGAGCCAAUGCUGGUGGAGAGCACCGACGACACUAAGACGGCCCAGACUGCCGCCGGACCCGGACGGACGGCGGACUGUAGCGAGGCAGUGGGAUACCCCACUGCCCCACUGAGGGCCGAACCUCGGCCAACACUUCUACAGGGAAGUAGUACUUCCUUUUGUUUGUUUAAAACCUGCUGCCUCUUAACUUCAUUGGGUGACUCCUGGUUCUUGUAAAAACCUAAGGUACAAAUUUACAGACUAAUUUUGGGUCUCUCUGUUUUUGGUGUCCAACCUGAGACAUCUGUGACCCCAGACAUUUAUGGCCAGAGGUGCCAGUAUUUGCAUUUCCCAUUGCCUUUAUUAGGAGUCAUGAAUUUUUGGCACUUCUGAAAAUCAAGCUAGGAUGUCUCACAUUGGGGGUCCUGAAACUGAGGCAUCCAAAAUCAGUGGCCACUCUUGAAAAUGUUAAGUGAAUGUUACUGUACUCAUACUGCGGGACUGGCACACAGCUCAGUUUGAGGUGUUAUUUUCACAGCUGUGACAGUCAGCAUUUCCUAUGUUUCUGCCAUCUCUAUCCCAGAUGCUGUCACAUUCUAUUUUACUCUCUUAAUGUCAUUUUUUUCCCCUACGGAUAUCACACUCAGUCUGCAGCUGUGAACCGUGUUUGAAGUUAGAAGUAAGUCUCUAAACAUCUCAAGACUAGGAAUUAUUAAAGGGGGGCACUCCUCAUGAUAUUUUCAGUUUGUGAAAGGGUUUCCUGAUCCUUAGAUGAUCGUCUCCAAAGUUGGCACAAUGAUUCUUCCACAGUCAAACUAAAUUAUAUAUUUUUAAAUUAAAUAUUUAUUAACUUUUGCAGAGGAAAUAUUAAAGAAUACUGUACUCCCA